rnacentral:misc_RNA from 1 species
GAAAUGCGAUAAGUAAUGUGAAUUGCAGAAUUCAGUGAAUCAUCGAAUCUUUGAACGCACCUUGCGCUCCUUGGUAUUCCUUGGAGCAUGCCUUUUUGAGUAUCAUGAAAUCUUCAAAGUAAAUGUUUUGUUAACUCAAUUGGUUUCUACUUUGGUAUUGGAGGUCUUUGCAGCUUCACACCUGCUCCUCUUUGUUCAUUAGCUGGAUCUCAGUGUUAUGCUUGGUUCCACUCGGCGUGAUAAGUUAUCUAUCGCUGAGGACACUGUAAAAGGUGGCCAAGGUAAAUGCAGAUGAACCGCUUCUAAUAGUCCAUUGACUUGGACAAUACUUUUAUGAUCUGAUCUCAAAUCAGGUAGGACUACCCGCUGAACUUAAGC